GACCGCGCCCUUCGCCAUGAGCGCGUCAGACGCCGCCGCAGCCGCCGCCGCUGCCAAAGCCAAGAAGCUCAACCUGGAGCGCGCCACCAACUUCAUGAGGCAGUUCCGCGACCCCGACAGCCGGGAGCUUAAGAAGCUGUCCGCCAACCAGUUCAUGGAAGUAUGGAGCCAUUACGACAAAGACGGAAACGGUUACAUUGAAGGCACAGAGCUGGAUGGCUUCCUCAAAGAAUUCGUCUCCAGCGCGAAUGCUUCCGACGUCGGUCCUGAGGCCGUUUCUGACGCUAUGCUGGUGGAACUGAAGCAGUGUUUCAUGGAGGCCUACGACGACAACCAGGAUGGGAAGAUCGACAUUAGAGAGCUCGCCCAGCUGCUGCCAAUGGAGGAAAACUUCCUGCUGCUCUUCCGAUUCGAUAAUCCGCUGGAGUCCAGUGUCGAAUUUAUGAAGAUCUGGCGGGAGUACGACACAGAUGGCAGCGGAUACAUCGAGGCCGACGAGCUGAAGAACUUCUUGCGCGACCUUCUGAAGGAGGCUAAGAAGAUGAAUGACGUCUCCGAGGACAAGCUCAUAGAGUACACCGACACUAUGCUCCAAGUGUUUGAUGCUAAUAAAGAUGGACGGCUUCAGUUGUCAGAGAUGGCAAAAUUACUGCCUGUCAAGGAGAACUUUUUGUGUCGGCAGAUAUUCAAGGGAGCCACCAAACUUACAAAAGAUGACAUAGAGCGAGUCUUUUCACUUUAUGACAGGGAUAACAAUGGUACAAUAGAGAAUGAAGAACUAAGGGGAUUCUUGAAAGACCUGUUGGAGCUAGUCAAAAAGGAUUAUGAUGCUCAAGAUCUGCAAGACUUCGAGGAAACUAUUCUUCGUGGUGUUGAUUACAACCAGGAUGGAAAGAUCAAUAAGAAAGAACUCACAAUGAUACUAUUGGCUCUUGCAAAACAUAACCAGGAGGAAGAUGCUGCUUAAAUUCUGUUAAAAAAUUAUUUUUGACAUUAAUGGUGAUACAGAUACUGAAUGAAGUUCACUAAUGAAAGAGCUGACUUUGUAUUUGUUCCACGUAAAUGUUCCAAGUAAAACCAGCAAGCUGCAAAACAACAAUGAUAAGUAAUAUAGAGUGCUAGAAAGGUUAUUAAAUGACAGUUUUGAUGAACAUAAGGUAAUGACUCAUUUAGCUAACAUGAACAUAGUACCAUGUGUCAAGCAAGACUUUGGUGAAUCAAAUAAAACUAGCCCAUAUACAUGUAAUUUUUUUAAAAUAAUCUUACAGAGACAAAUACAUGGUUGAAUACUUCAUGAAAGAAUGUUUUGUAUAGAUUUUAAUGCCGAUUAAAACAUUUUAUGGAUUAAAAUCCUGAGUGCUCAGGGUGAAAACAAUGUUGUUUGGGCAAAUAAGUAAUGUAUUAUAGUGUUCAUCUUAAUGCAAGGUUAUAUAAAAUACCCAUAAGCUAAAACCAAAGUGUGUCUUUUUCUUGAGGAAUGGAAACAAGUGACAUUAAUGUGCUUGAUUUCACUGGUCAGAUUUCUAACACACCAUCACACACCAAUAUACGAAAUGUCAUGAGUUACAUUUGAAAAACAAAUAUAACUGUUAAGUUUACAAUAAGAUUCAUAGCGCCACAUUCACCAUCAGAUAUAGCCUAUGUUGAAUUACAUUCAUUGACGUAUAGUAUAAAUAAAAUUUUUACUGCAUUUUAUUAUGUCUUAGGUACUGAAAGAGUUAUAUUGAGUCUAGUGCUCAGUUACAGGUGCAACAUUUUUUAAAAGACUUCACUGCUGUCUCAUAAGUAACAGUGUGCCAUUCCCAUUCAUGUCAGUUUGCUACUUUCUAAAAAUCUUACUACUGAUGCAUAUUGUGAACAAAACACUAGAUUUGUUCCCUUAAACUGUCAAACUUUUGUAUGGCAGUACUAUCCACAUUUGGUGCAGCCUCUAAACAUCACAAUCUACUGUAUAAUAAUGAUUUUUAGAUAUUUGUAACUGUGUCUUAAACACAAAGGAAUAAGCAAUUUAAGAACUAUGUAUUGGCUUCACUUACAAUAGAUGUGUUUUCUGCUAUGCUCAAUUUUUGUAGUGUUUAUAAAAAUGAUAACUAUAUUAUGACUUUCAGAUCAUAUUAGUCAGCCACACACUUUAAUACAAGAAUAUAAAACAACUAAAUUUAAUGUGUACUGAUAAGAAAAUAUGAAUUCCAUGAAUCAUAACAGAUCUAUCUUUAAAUAGAGUUAAGCAGAUAAUAGUGUAAGUAACAGAAGCUUAAAGCAAUUGAGAACAAGACUUCAUUAAUUUAGAAAAGAAAUUGUACAACUAGUAGCUGCUGGUACAAUAGUAAAGACAUACCUGACAAGUGGCUUUAAACACCAAUUUUAAUUUAACACACAGAUCCAUUGCAUAAGUGUUUUAAAAGUUACUGUCCAAAUGUGCACAAACAUUUUGCACAAAUUUUAAUAAUGACUUGAUAGAUAUAUACAAAUACAACUGAUAAGGAAUGCUGUGCCAAACAGAAUUUUGUAAGUGAUUUUUAAAGUGUCCACUUUAAGGUGUUAGUGCAAUCAUUCUGUUUAGCAAUGAAAUCCAGAAAAAAUAAUUUUUUAUGUUGUAUCAGCUGGGUUUACUUGGAACCUUGAUUGUUGUAUAAGAAUGUUUAUCAAUGUUAAUUAUUAUAAUAAAUGAUAUUUUGUAUGAAAUGCAGUAUAUGUUAUAAAGUAUGUUUUGAGUUUGUGAGAUAUUCUAUAUGAUAUUGACUGCUUACUUGUGGAAAACAAUAAGAAACAAUGCUUUUUACUUUUUAAGAUUAAUAAAACAUGAAAGCUAGUAGUUAAUGAAUUGAACCCCUUGCUAACAAGUCUCCAGUCUUCAUUCAUACUGAAUGUAUGUCCCAGUCAAAAAAUUGGAAUUAUAUAUGUGUACUCCAUCAAAAUUAGUUAGAAAUAAUCUUUUAGAACUGUAUCUUUAUGUUACACAUGUACAAAAAAAUAAACCU